AUUCUUACAUGGUACCGGGAUUACCGUGAUCAACUAGGCGGUGUCCCCAGAAAGAGGCGCGGGCACUGCACUGCGCUCGUGCUGACUUCUGCCACUACCCCAAACUGGGGCAGAUGGGGCAUGCAGUUGCUGCAAGUGGUCGUUCGAAACAGUGUGGUACUCUCCGAUUC